AUGCCACCAAAGUUCUCAAAGCCCACGACACCGGCACCAGCGCCGGUUUCCUGCGUCGCCGCCGCCUCCACAAAGCUUCAGCGGCUGUGCCCUGACUACGAAGACGACAUCGACCACAACCUCCGGUUGACAGAGAAGAACGCCGAGGAGCGGCCGCUACCGGACUACCUGACGAAGGUGCAGCAGGAUCGGGUGAGCGAGUCAGCGCGCGCCUCCCUCGUCGGAUGGAUGGACAAGUUCGUCCGAGACCAUGAUCUGGCCGACGGCACGCUCCACCACGCCGUCGCCUACGUCGACCGGGUCCUGUCUGUGCGAGCCCUGACGACUGACAGCGGCUACGAGCUACGCCUCCUGGGUGCCGCGGCCAUCUUUGUCGCCGCCAAAUACGAGGACCAAAAAGCCGUGUGGAAGCUGAAGGCCGACCAGAUCGCCAGGUACGGCGAGUUCGCCGCGGGCAAAGAGGUGCUCGACAUGGAGUGCGAGAUGGUGGAGGCGCUCGGAUACCAGCUCGGCGGCCCCACGGCGCACACGUUCCUGAGCCACUUCAUGAGGUACGCCGAGGGGGAGGACAAGACCAAGAUCCUGCCAUUGGCGACUCGCCUCGUUGAUCAGUCUCUGCUCAACUACACGUGCCUCCGCAUCUUGCCGUCCCUCGUGGCGGCGUCCGCGAUCUUCCUCGCGAGGCGGACCCUGAAUCCGCCCGACGUCCUCGCGUGGAACAGGGAAUUGACGGAGCUGACGGGCUACAACUGCUCCGACAUGACAGCCUGCGUGCUUAAUAUGUUCUUCUUCUCGCGGUCGCUCAUCUGUAACCCUUCUUCUUGA
rnacentral:rRNA from 1 species